CCUACGGGAGGCAGCAGUGAGGAAUAUUGGUCAAUGGGCGAGAGCCUGAACCAGCCAAGUCGCGUGAGGGAGUACUGCCCUAUGGGUUGUAAACCUCUUUUGUCGGGGAGCAAAAGCCGGACGUGUCCGGCUGUGAGAGUACCCGAAGAAAAAGCAUCGGCUAACUCCGUGCCAGCAGCCGCGGUGAUACGGAGGAUGCGAGCGUUAUCCGGAUUUAUUGGGUUUAAAGGGUGCGCAGGCGGAUUCUUACGUCUGCGGUAAAAUCGUGGGGCUCAACCCCAUCCAGCCGGUGAAACUGGGGAUCUAGAGUGUGCGAGAGGUAUGCGGAAUGCGUGGUGUAGCGGUGAAAUGCAUAGAUAUCACGCAGAACCCCGAUUGCGAAGGCAGCAUACCGGUGCACAACUGACGCUCAGGCACGAAAGCGUGGGUAUCGAACAGGAUUAGAUACCCUGGUAGUC
rnacentral:rRNA from 1 species